CUGCGGAAGGAUCAUUAACGAAUAUAAUUCGAGGGGUUGUCGCUGGCCUCGCUCGCGCGAGGCAUGUGCACGCUUCUCGUUUUUCUCUCAACUCACCUGUGCACCUAAUGUAGGAUGCCUCUCCUCCGGGAGGGGGGACCUAUGUCUUCGUAACAUCUUCGUGUAGAAAGUCUUUGAAUGUUUACUAUCAUCGAGUCGCGACUUCUAGGAGACGCGAUUCUUUGAGAUAAAAGUUAUUACAACUUUCAGCAACGGAUCUCUUGGCUCUCGCAUCGAUGAAGAACGCAGCGAAAAGCGAUAUGUAAUGUGAAUUGCAGAUCUACAGUGAAUCAUCGAAUCUUUGAACGCACCUUGCGCUCCUCGGUGUUCCGAGGAGCAUGCCUGUUUGAGUGUCAGUAAAUUCUCAACCCCUCUCGAUUAGCUUCGAGAGGGCGUUUGGAUAGUGGAGGUUGCCGGAGACUUGGAUUCGUCCGAGACUCGGGCUCUUCUGAAAUGCAUCGGCUUGCGGUCGACUUUCGACUAUGUGCGACAAGGCUUUCGGCGUGAUAAUGAUCGCCGUUCGCUGAAGCGCAUGACUGAACGUCCCGUGCCUCUAAUACGUCGACCGCUUAUUAUCUCUCCGGAGAGAACAGGGUCUUCCUAAUUGACUUUGACCUCAAAUCAGGUAG
rnacentral:rRNA from 1 species